GUGCCAGCCGCCGCGGUAAUACGUACCGUCCAAACGUUAUUCGGAAUUACUGGGCUUAAAGGGUACGUAGGCGGCGCUGUCAGUCGGGUGUGAAAUCCCAGGGCUCAACCCUGGAACUGCGCCCGAUACUGCAGUGCUUGAGGGAGACAGAGGUAAGCGGAACUGAUGGUGGAGCGGUGAAAUGCGUUGAUAUCAUCAGGAACACCAGUGGCGAAAGCGGCUUACUGGGUCUCUUCUGACGCUGAGGUACGAAAGCUAGGGGAGCGAAGGGGAUUAGAUACCCUUGUAGUCC
rnacentral:rRNA from 1 species